UGGGGAAUUUUGGACAAUGGGGGAAACCCUGAUCCAGCCAUCCCGCGUGUGCGAUGAAGGCCUUCGGGUUGUAAAGCACUUUUGGCAGGAAAGAAACGUCAUGGGUUAAUACCCCGUGAAACUGACGGUACCUGCAGAAUAAGCACCGGCUAACUACGUGCCAGCAGCCGCGGUAAUACGUAGGGUGCAAGCGUUAAUCGGAAUUACUGGGCGUAAAGCGUGCGCAGGCGGUUCGGAAAGAAAGAUGUGAAAUCCCCGGGCUCAACCUGGGAAUUGCAUUUGAGACUGCACGGCUAGAGUGUGUCAGAGGGGGGUAGAAUUCCACGUGUAGCAGUGAAAUGCGUAGAUAUGUGGAGGAAUACCGAUGGCGAAGGCAGCCCCCUGGGAUAACACUGACGCUCAUGCACGAAAGCGUGGGGAGCAAACA
rnacentral:rRNA from 1 species